rnacentral:rRNA from 1 species
GAUUAAGCCAUGCAUGUGUUAGUACAAGCUUGUAUCAAGCGAAACUGCGGAUGGCUCAUUAAAUCAGUCAUGGUUCCUUGGAACGAGUUGCCCUACAUGGAUAACUGUGGUAAUUCUAGAGCUAAUACAUGCUAACAAGCGCCGACCACCCUGGAAGGCGUGCUUUUAUUAGGAACAAAGACCAACCGGGCCUAGCCCGUUUCUUUGACGAACUCUGGAUAACUUAGCAGAUCGCACGGUCAUCGCACCGGCGACAGUAACCAUCAAACGUCUGCCCUAUCAACUUUCGAUGGUACGUUAUGCGCCUACCAUGGUCGUAACGGGUAACGGAGAAUCAGGGUUCGAUUCCGGAGAGGGAGCCUGAGAAAUGGCUACCACAUCCAAGGAAGGCAGCAGGCGCGCAAAUUACCCACUCUCGACACGGGGAGGUAGUGACGAAAAAUAACAAUACAGGACUCUUUCGAGGCCCUGUAAUUGGAAUGAGUACACUUUAAAUCCUUUAACGAGGAUCUACUGGAGGGCAAGUCUGGUGCCAGCAGCCGCGGUAAUUCCAGCUCCAGUAGCGUAUAUUAAUGCUGCUGCAGUUAAAAAGCUCGUAGUCGUAUCUAGGGUACGGGCGGAGGGUCCCUCGUAAGGGGUGUACUCUGCGACUCGUCCUCCCUCGCGGUUAGACGCCCGGUUCUCUUAACUGAGUGCCGGGUGCGGCCGGAACGUUUACUUUGAAAAAAUUGGAGUGUUCAACGCAGGCGUAUCAGCCUGGACAGUAGAGCAUGGAAUAAUGGAAUAGGAUCUCGGUUCUAUUGCGUUGGUUUUAAGAACUCGAGGUAAUGAUUGAGAGGGACUGACGGGGGCAUUCGUAUUGCGGUGUGAGAGGUGAAAUUCUAGGAUCGCCGCAAGACGACCGGUAGCGAAAGCGUUUGCCAAGAAUGUCUUCAUUGAUCAAGAACGAAAGUUAGAGGUUCGAAGGCGAUCAGAUACCGCCCUAGUUCUAACCAUAAACUAUGCCGACCGGCGAUUCGCCGGCGUUAUAUCAACGACACGGCAAGCAGCUUCCGGGAAACCAAAGUUUUUGGGUUCCGGGGGAAGUAUGGUUGCAAAGCUGAAACUUAAAGGAAUUGACGGAAGGGCACCACCAGGAGUGGAGCCUGCGGCUUAAUUUGACUCAACAA